UGCAGUCGAGCGGUAGAGAGAAGCUUGCUUCUCUUGAGAGCGGCGGACGGGUGAGUAAUGCCUAGGAAUCUGCCUGGUAGUGGGGGAUAACGUUCGGAAACGGACGCUAAUACCGCAUACGUCCUACGGGAGAAAGCAGGGGACCUUCGGGCCUUGCGCUAUCAGAUGAGCCUAGGUCGGAUUAGCUAGUUGGUGGGGUAAUGGCUCACCAAGGCGACGAUCCGUAACUGGUCUGAGAGGAUGAUCAGUCACACUGGAACUGAGACACGGUCCAGACUCCUACGGGAGGCAGCAGUGGGGAAUAUUGGACAAUGGGCGAAAGCCUGAUCCAGCCAUGCCGCGUGUGUGAAGAAGGUCUUCGGAUUGUAAAGCACUUUAAGUUGGGAGGAAGGGUUGUAGAUUAAUACUCUGCAAUUUUGACGUUACCGACAGAAUAAGCACCGGCUAACUCUGUGCCAGCAGCCGCGGUAAUACAGAGGGUGCAAGCGUUAAUCGGAAUUACUGGGCGUAAAGCGCGCGUAGGUGGUUUGUUAAGUUGGAUGUGAAAUCCCCGGGCUCAACCUGGGAACUGCAUUCAAAACUGACUGACUAGAGUAUGGUAGAGGGUGGGUGGAAUUUCCUGUGUAGCGGUGAAAUGCGUAGAUAUAGGAAGGAACACCAGUGGCGAAGGCGACCACCUGGACUAAUACUGACACUGAGGUGCGAAAGCGUGGGGAGCAAACAGGAUUAGAUACCCUGGUAGUCCACGCCGUAAACGAUGUCAACUAGCCGUUGGAAGCCUUGAGCUUUUAGUGGCGCAGCUAACGCAUUAAGUUGACCGCCUGGGGGAGUACGGCCGCCAGGGUUAAAACUCAAAUGAAAUUGACGGGGGGCCCGCCACAA
rnacentral:rRNA from 1 species